ensembl:lncRNA
CAUAAAUACCAACUCAGAGUAAACAAGUAUCACAGCCUCACCUGGGAGCCUGAUGAGGACAUCAGAGGCAGUGCACUCAUAACUGUUACCUGAGGACAAACUACAAACACAAGGUCUUCCUUCCAAGGAAUAAUUACUACUUUCUCUCUCUUGCACGAAAGACAAGAUCUACAGUCUACUAUAGGCAUGGACAACAGACUAGUCUUCACUGUCCUGGUUGUGAUGAUGUCCUUGAACUUUAUGGGCCCCUAUGCUCAAAGCUCCACAACCACAACUGCAGCAACCACAACGACACCAACCCCCACCACUGCGGCAACCACGAAACCAUCCACCACAACUGCGGCAACCACAACGACAACAACCGCAACCGCAACUACAGCAACAACUGCAACUACAGCAAGCAGAGGGCCGCCAACAACUGUAACUACAGCAACAACUGCAACUACAGCAAGCACAGCACCACCAACAACCGUAACUACAGCAAGCACAGCGCCACCAACAACCGCAACUACAGCGACUACAGCAAGCAUAGCGCCGUCAACAACCGCAACUACAGCAACUACAGCAAGCACAGCGCCGCCAACAACUGUAGCUUCAGUAAGCACAGCACCACCAACAACCGCAACUACA